rnacentral:rRNA from 1 species
UACGGAGGGGGCGAGCGUUGUUCGGAAUUACUGGGCGUAAAGGGCUCGUAGGCGGCCAGCUAAGUCAGACGUGAAAUCCCUCGGCUUAACCGGGGAACUGCGUCUGAUACUGGAUGGCUUGAGUCCGGGAGAGGGAUGCGGAAUUCCAGGUGUAGCGGUGAAAUGCGUAGAUAUCUGGAGGAACACCGGUGGCGAAGGCGGCACCCUGGACCGGCAGUGACGCUGAGGAGCGAAAGCCAGGGGAGCAAACGGG